ACGGGGUGCAGCAGGCGCGAAAACUUUCCAAUGCACGCAAGUGUGAGAAGGAAAUCCAGAGUGCUUAAGAUUAAUCUUAGGCUUUUGCCAUGGGUAAAUACCAUGGAGAAUAAGUGGAGGGCAAUACCUGUGCCAGCCGCCGCGGUAACCCAGGAUCCACAAGUGGCAACCGCUUUUAUUUGGCCUAAAGCGUCCGUAGCUGGCUUUCUAAAUUACUUGUGAAAUCGUAGGGCUUAACCCUACGGAAUGCAGGUAAGACUGGAAAGCUCGAGAUCGGGAGACGUUAGGGGUAUUCAAAGGGGAGCGGUAAAAUGCGAGAAUCCUUUGAGGACCACCUGUGGCGAAGGCGCCUAACAAUAACGAGUCUGACUGUGAGGGACGAAAGCUAGGGGAGCGAACUGGAUUAGAUACCCAAGUAGUCCUAGCCCUAAACGCUGCGAGUUAGGUGUUGCAUAAUCUUCGGGAUUGUGCAGUAUCGUAGUGAAGACGUUAAACUCGCCGCCUGGGAAGUACGGCCGCAAGACUGAAACUUAAAGGAAUUGGCGGGGGAGCAC
rnacentral:rRNA from 1 species